rnacentral:rRNA from 1 species
UACGUAGGGUGCGAGCGUUGUCCGGAAUUAUUGGGCGUAAAGAGCUCGUAGGCGGUCUGUCGCGUCGGUCGUGAAAACCCGGGGCUCAACCCCGGGCCUGCAGUGGGUACGGGCUGACUAGAGUGCGGUAGGGGAGACUGGAAUUCCUGGUGUAGCGGUGAAAUGCGCAGAUAUCAGGAGGAACACCGGUGGCGAAGGCAGGUCUCUGGGCCGUAACUGACGCUGAGGAGCGAAAGCGUGGGGAGCGAACAGG